AGAGUUUGAUCCUGGCUCAGAACGAACGCUGGCGGCGUGGAUAAGACAUGCAAGUCGAGCGCUGAUUUCGGGGUAGCAAUAUUCCGGAGUUGGAGCAGCGCAAGGGUGCGUAACACGUGGGUAAUCUGCCAUGAAGUUUGGGAUAACUUGCUGAAAGGCGAGCUAAUACCGGAUGUGACAAUUGGAAGGCAUCUUCUGAUUGUUAAAGCUGGGGACCGUAAGGCCUGGCGCUUCAUGAUGAACCCGCGGCCUAUCAGCUAGUUGGUGAGGUAACGGCCCACCAAGGCUAAGACGGGUAGCUGGUCUGAGAGGACGACCAGCCACACUGGAACUGAGACACGGUCCAGACACCUACGGGUGGCAGCAGUCGAGAAUUUUUCACAAUGGGCGCAAGCCUGAUGGAGCGACGCCGCGUGGGGGAUGAAUGGCUUCGGCCCGUAAACCCCUGUCAUUUGCGAUCAAACCUCGGUAUUUAAAAGAUGCCGAGCUGAUAGUAGCGAAAGAGGAAGGGACGGCUAACUCUGUGCCAGCAGCCGCGGUAAUACAGAGGUCCCAAGCGUUGUUCGGAUUCACUGGGCGUAAAGGGUGCGUAGGUGGCGAGGUAAGUCGGACGUGAAAGCUCGGAGCUCAACUCCGAAAUGGCGUUGGAAACUACCUUGCUUGAGGGUUGGAGGGGGGACUGGAAUACUUGGUGUAGCAGUGAAAUGCGUAGAUAUCAAGUGGAACACCAGUGGCGAAGGCGAGUCCCUGGACAACUCCUGACACUGAGGCACGAAAGCUAGGGGAGCAAACAGGAUUAGAUACCCUGGUAGUCCUAGCCGUAAACGGUG
rnacentral:rRNA from 1 species